rfam:Schistosoma haematobium scaffold502_4, whole genome shotgun sequence.
ACCUUGCUGAUGAGUGCCAAAUAGAACGAAACCCGGGUUCAGGGU